CAGUCGCCGCGGUAAUACGUAGGGUGCGAGCGUUAAUCGGAAUUACUGGGCGUAAAGCGUGCGCAGGCGGUUUGUUAAGACAGAUGUGAAAUCCCCGGGCUUAACCUGGGAACUGCAUUUGUGACUGGCCGGCUAGAGUAUGGCAGAGGGAGGUGGAAUUCCACGUGUAGCAGUGAAAUGCGUAGAUAUGUGAAGGAACACCGAUGGCGAAGGCAGCCUCCUGGGCCAAUACUGACGCUCAUGCACGAAAGCGUGGGGAGCAAACAGGAUUAGAUACCCCCGUAGUCCCUGUCUCUUAUAC
rnacentral:rRNA from 1 species